rnacentral:rRNA from 1 species
UACGUAGGGUGCGAGCGUUGUCCGGAAUUAUUGGGCGUAAAGGGCUCGUAGGCGGUUUGUCGCGUCGGGAGUGAAAUCCCGAGGCUCAACCUCGGGUCUGCAUCCGAUACUGCCCGGCUAGAGGUAGGUAGGGGAGAUCGGAAUUCCUGGUGUAGCGGUGAAAUGCGCAGAUAUCAGGAGGAACACCGGUGGCGAAGGCGGAUCUCUGGGCCUUACCUGACGCUCAGGCGCGAAAGCUAGGGGAGCGAACUGG